GAUGAACGCUGGCGGCGUGCCUAAUACAUGCAAGUCGAGCGAACAGAUGAGGAGCUUGCUCCUCUGACGUUAGCGGCGGACGGGUGAGUAACACGUGGAUAACCUACCUAUAAGACUGGGAUAACUUCGGGAAACCGGAGCUAAUACCGGAUAAUAUAUUGAACCGCAUGGUUCAAUAGUGAAAGACGGUUUUGCUGUCACUUAUAGAUGGAUCCGCGCCGCAUUAGCUAGUUGGUAAGGUAACGGCUUACCAAGGCGACGAUGCGUAGCCGACCUGAGAGGGUGAUCGGCCACACUGGAACCGAGGCACGGUCCAGACUCCUACGGGAGGCAGCAGUAGGGAAUCUUCCGCAAUGGGCGAAAGCCUUACGGAGCAACGCCGCGUGAGUGAUGAAGGUCUUCGGAUCGUAAAACUCUGUUAUUAGGGAAGAACAAAUGUGUAAGUAACUAUGCACGUCUUGACGGUACCUAAUCAGAAAGCCACGGCUAACUACGUG
rnacentral:rRNA from 1 species